AGUGAAUGCUGGCGGUAGGCCUAACACAUGCAAGUCGAACGGCAGCACAGUAAGAGCUUGCUCUUACGGGUGGCGAGUGGCGGACGGGUGAGGAAUACAUCGGAAUCUACUUUUUCGUGGGGGAUAACGUAGGGAAACUUACGCUAAUACCGCAUACGACCUACGGGUGAAGGCAGGGGAUCUUCGGACCUUGCGCGAUUGAAUGAGCCGAUGUCGGAUUAGCUAGUUGGCGGGGUAAAGGCCCACCAAGGCGACGAUCCGUAGCUGGUCUGAGAGGAUGAUCAGCCACACUGGAACUGAGACACGGUCCAGACUCCUACGGGAGGCAGCAGUGGGGAAUAUUGGACAAUGGGCGCAAGCCUGAUCCAACCAUACCGCGUGGGUGAAGAAGGCCUUCGGGUUGUAAAGCCCUUUUGUUGGGAAAGAAAAGCAGCAGGUUAAUACCCCGCUGUUCUGACGGUACCCAAAGAAUAAGCACCGGCUAACUUCGUG
rnacentral:rRNA from 1 species